CCUACGGGAGGCAGCAGUGAGGAAUAUUGGUCAAUGGGCGAGAGCCUGAACCAGCCAAGUCGCGUGAGGGAGUACUGCCCUAUGGGUUGUAAACCUCUUUUGUCGGGGAGCAAAAGCCGGACGUGUCCGGCUGUGAGAGUACCCGAAGAAAAAGCAUCGGCUAACUCCGUGCCAGCAGCCGAGGUAAUACGGAGGAUGCGAGCGUUAUCCGGAUUUAUUGGGUUUAAAGGGUGCGCAGGCGGAUUUUUAAGUCAGCGGUAAAAUCGUGGGGCUCAACCCCAUCCAGCCGUUGAAACUGGGGAUCUAGAGUGUGCGAGAGGUAUGCGGAAUGCGUGGUGUAGCGGUGAAAUGCAUAGAUAUCACGCAGAACCCCGAUUGCGAAGGCAGCAUACCGGUGCACAACUGACGCUCAGGCACGAAAGCGUGGGUAUCGAACAGGAUUAGAUACCCCAGUAGUC
rnacentral:rRNA from 1 species